AGAGUGGAAAUGAUCAAAUAUCCCUGGUUGGGGCCACAUGCUGGCGGCAUCCAUCCCCGCUAGGGUACAGGCGAGGUGGUGGUGGAGCCUGGCCCCCAGGCCAGCUCAGAUGCAGGUCAGUUCCGGGUUCUCUCUUUCACCUUCCACCUGUGCUGACCCAUCAGGCAUGCAGACCCGGAGGUGGACACAGAUGCUGCCCUGUUCUCACUGCAGCCCAAGGCAUGCAGCUGUCCAGCUUCUCAGUAACAUCUGCAUGAUCUACACGAGGAUGAUGGAGCUCAGGACAGGGGCGUACACCUAGAAGACUGUUCUCUGUAACUGCAUCUACGACGGCCAAUCAGUGUAUGACCUCAUUCUUCCUUUGAAUUUUCUUUCCACAGGACCAAGUCACUGGGUGUGCCUGCUCCUUCCACUGUUAAACUCUUCCAGGCAUUGCACAAAUAAAAGAGUUCACAGAACAGGUUCCUGUACUGAGAAUGUUUGGAAAAUUUUAUGGACUUUUUGGGAAGGCAUUUUAGCAUGCUUUUCUU
rnacentral:lncRNA from 1 species